CUGGAUGGUAGUGUAUUGGACAACCAUGGCAUUCNCNNNNUAUCGGGGGAUUAGGGUUCGAUUCCGGAGAGGGAGCCUGAGAAACGGCUACCACUUCUACGGAAGGCAGCAGGCGCGAAAAUUAUCCAAUCCUGAUUCAGGGAGGUAGUGAAAGAAAUAAUGAACUAGGAUUUAUCCUGGGGUCAGAAUGGGCUUGAUUUGCAGACUUUAUUUAGCGAGGAACAAUUGGAGGGCAAGUCUGGUGCCAGCAGCCGCGGUAAUUCCAGCUCCAAUAGUGUAUAUUAAUGUUCCUGCAGUUAUUCGAUGCUCGUAGUUGGAUUUCUGGAGGCUGAGACAGGAAGGCAGCCAAGGUUGUCGCCAGUCUCUUCCUUCAUCCACCUGUUAACGUUGUCCGG
rnacentral:rRNA from 1 species